rnacentral:RNase_P_RNA from 1 species
CAGGUUGACCGGAGAAUCGCGGUGUGCAAACGCCGAGGAAAGUCCGCACUCCAUAGGGCACGGUGCUGGCUAACAGCCAGGCGGGGGAACCCGACGGAAUAGUGCAACAGAGAGUAAAUUGCGUCACAUUUGUGGCGUGAGGGUGAAAGGGUGCGGUAAGAGCGCACCGGCGCUGGCAGUGAUGUCGGCGGCCAGGCAAACCCCACCGGGAGCAAAGUCAAGCAGGUGCAUAGGGGCGGCCCGUCCCGCUUAAGCACCGGGUAGACUGCACGAGGUGUACGGUAACGUGCAUCCCAGAUAGAUGAUUCUCUAGAACAGAAUGCGGCUUAUGGGUCGGCCUGGAUU